rnacentral:lncRNA from 1 species
AGAUGUUCCUGCGUUGCAGUAGGUCCACACUGCCGGGGAGAGGUGGCAAGAGACAAAUCAACUCUAGUGGAAACGGGAAGCGAGUGGGAACAACAGCCUCACAGCAAGACCGGGGCUCAGCAGCCGCGCUCUUGGCCUGCGUUUGGUGGACCGGAAUCCGGGUUGUGUGUUUCAUUUUCUUUUUUGCCAGAAAAUAUCAUUAGGAACUAAACGGCUCUUUUUAAGAGUGUGAAAGUGUUACUCUUGCCAGUCACCAAUGAGGAGGGCGCCAAAAGCUUCCCAGAGCCAGUUCCCACAGCCAGGACUAUUCUCUAAAGCCAGAGGUCGGAAAGUUGAACAGAACGGAAGCAAAUUGCCUGGCAGAGGGAAGAGGCAUCGGGUGCCCAGGGGGUGUAGAGCGGGCGGGGGUGAUUGGAGUGUGAAACGAAUUGGUGGCCAGGGUGCCUUCUCUUGCACUUACACUAGCUGCAGUCCGCAGUUACCCAGAGGUGGUUCAACUGUUAGCUCACUCUGUGCCAGGGACAGCAUGUGGUACUGCUAUCAGCGUGCACAUUUUCAGGACACCAAAGACAAACUGUUCAAAAGAACAUUAGAAGAAAAGAUUCAAUUCGAGUAAAAGUAGAGAUAAGAAAAUCUCCACACAGUAGUAGAAAGUACUUUUUACUUUUGAAUGAUCAUUCAGAAUUGUGGUUUUGUCAUUUUCUGCCAUUCCCUUGACAAAAACUUUAUUUUGCAAUUGACUCAUUGGACUGAAUCUCACUGAGGAUCUGAUGGAAACACACAGCGUUCAAUUGGAAUAAACAGCUUAAACUGUUGUGUGUUUUUUUAAAUGUAGAUCCUCCUAGAAUUUUUGUGGCACUAGAAUUUCUAUAAAGAUUAUGUAUCCCAGAUACCCUUCUACACCACACACACACACACACACACACACACACACACGCACUGCUUUCUCCAAAAUUAUGUCAGAUUUGAAAUCCUAGGGUAUCUUGUCAAAAUGAAUAAGCUCGCUGUCUUUAAAAAGAGGUGGGGGAGGGGAGAUUCAGUGGCAAAGGUGGUCCUGACUCCCCUUGCUUCGCUUCAGCACCUUGGCCAACACUCCUAAACUAGCUUUUGCCAAGACAUUUCAUGGGAUCUUACACAUCUAGGCAGGCAGUUUUGGCUGCUAUUUUGGCAGCAAGAACGCAUGUGCUUUGCAUACUAUCCCAUCAGUUAACUCUUGAAGGGAAACAGGAAGGUGAUGAGUUCUCUGAGCUGGCACCUGAACUCGGUGGGAUUCUGUGGGUGUAGAGCAUCCCUUCUGAACCUAAAACCGUGUCAUUGGACUAUGUGGUAGAGACUAAUCUUAGCGUACAUUGAUGCAAUCCCUUAAGACUCUUCAUAUCUGUUGCUUCAAGUUCUCAAAACAUGGUUGUCAAGGGAGAAAAAUGAUAGGAUGUUGGGGAAAAUAUUAUGGAUAUCCGACUUCAGUACAGACUCAUAGAACCGCGGGUGUGUAUUGGAGCAAGCCAUCCUCUAUUGCAAGGUAUUUGAAAGAGACUAGAAACUCCUGCUGAGAAAAAGUAUCUUACUGCUAGAUUUGUAUAUUCCCCUUUCUGAAAUCCCUGUCUUGGGGACACAAAUCCUCCAGGACAUUGCCAAAAGAUUGCCAUAGGGUUUGAAUUCUGCUCUCUCCAAUAAGUUUAGGUGGGUUAGUGCAAUGGAAGGCUUCAGAUAACCAGAAGGAUGAGAUCUACAUAGAGUCAGAUGAUGGAAAGGAAGCAUUUACUAGAGAUCAAAUAAUCAUUUGGUCAGUUUUAGCCCAAAGCCGUUCAUCUAUUUCCUAGACUGGAGCUUACCACUUUAGUUACAUGCACUUUUAAUGCCUUUAUAUUUACUCUAUUAUUAGACAAAAACUCCUUUGCAACUCCUUUUUAAUUGUAUCUAAUUUUGUUAUUAACUCAUUUUAAAGAGAAAGCAUCCUGCCGGAAGUGAUUAUACUUAACCAGGAGGUUUUCUCCCUUCCUACCCACCCAGAAAGUGUAAGGGGUAAAGAGGGGAAAGUAUUUAUUUCAGUAAAUUCCAUUUCCCUUCUUUGAUGUUUCCUAACUCUUCAGACCUCCAAUAAUACCACUUUUGAUAUUUUAGAGAGCUUUGAGUAAGAAGCGGAACCUUUGACCAACCA